CACGUAGGAUGCAAGCGUUAUUCGGAUUUACUGGGCGUAAAGCGCGUGUAGGCGGUUGGGAUAGUUGGAUGUGAAAGCUCCCGGCUUAACUGGGAGAGGUCGUUCAAAACUUCCCAACUAGAGUUUGGUAGAGGAAAAUGGAAUUCCGGGUGUAGUGGUGAAAUGCGUAGAUAUCCGGAGGAACACCAGUGGCGAAAGCGAUUUUCUGGACCGAUACUGACGCUCAGACGCGAAAGCUAGGGUAGCAAACGGGAUUAGAAACCCUAGUAGUCC
rnacentral:rRNA from 1 species